GCUUAGGUAAUCUUACACAAAAUCGGUUUUGGAAGAAAAGUAAUAAGAAUUAAAAGAUAUAGCACAUAAUCUUCAUCGGGAAAGGUGCUUAAUUUACCGUUAAAGGCUUCACUGUAGUCUCGCAGAUCUGCGUGUAUAUAUAUUUGUGUGUUCUGAUAUGUAGUAGAAGCAAGAACACAUGUACACGAAUAUAGCUUGCUUAUAAACUGUCCAAUUGAUUGAAGCGAAUAUUCAGUCCGUAUACGCAAGCCAACCUGAUCACUCACGUCCCAUCUAAGCCCUCAAAAUCUCCCGAGUUCUUCAACCCAACCUUUGAGCAUUUCCAAAUCAGCAUGAUGAUUACAACGACAUGCCUUCUGGUCACUUUAUAGAUUUUGAACCUUGGACAAAGUGGUAACUCGCAGGUCGCCACCUUUCGUCAAGCCACUGACUCGUUAAAGAGUGGCUCCAAAAGAUUCUCCGUCGGCGAAGUGAAUGAUCGUUUGGAAUUCGAUGAGGGUUCCGGAAUAAUGGAAACGAUGUUAAAUGUGCCAGAAUGUCUCGGAGAAGAUGAAGGGUCUACCAUUUCCCUGCCAAGGCCGAGUGGAUGUUAUAUUUUCCAAACCACUGGAUUCAACAUGGAGGGAUAUCCGAAUAAUACAGGAUCUUUUCCUAUAUACUGGUGCAAUUACUUAAUUCAGUUUGGGGCUAAUGUAAAUGGAACGGUGACCGUUAAAGAAAAAGAUUUUCAGUUCCAAGAACCGGACAGUGGUGGAGAUUGCCUGGAUUUUCUAUUAAUUUCUCGUGUGAACGAUGAACAGCAAGAAAACGACAGCAGCGACCUCGAUGACCGAAGUCAGAGUACAGAUGAAGUUGAAUAUUGUGGCACGAUUACAGAAGACAAGAUCCGCGAUUUCUCUUGCUCUGAACUUGCCAUUGCAUUAAUCGCCGACAACACAGAGAACGGCAACGGAGCCGAGAUUGUUAUUUGUAUUGAUUAUACGAGUUGGGGGUGAAAAAAAAAGUUCUUUAUUUAUCCACACUAUGAACUCUGAAGUGAUUAUUGGUUUAUGUGUUUUUCUUUUAUUUUGACCGACUGCAUGGUUUCGAAAAUGCAUUAAAUAAAUCCUUUGAAGGUCCUGUUUGGUAUUCCUAUGAGCGAGCUUUGUGUGAAAAUAAAGAACAGAGAAUCAUUUCAAGAAC